GUUUUUUUUUUUUUUUUUUUUUUUUUCUUG
rnacentral:ribozyme from 13 species